ensembl:lncRNA
AGACAAAUGGCAUCGUUAUAAACCAGCCCUUAAUCAUUUCUCAGCUAUCCACCAGCACCUGCAUUACCAGUAGCUGGGACUGGAGGCUGCAGCUUGUCCGCAGCUGUGCUCCGUGUCCUAGGACACAGGGCGGCCCAUCUGAGAGAGACCCAGGGAGACGGGAUGCCCUCCUACCCAAACUGGGACCCCCACCUAUCCGGAGAUGAUCUAAGCUUGGAUCCGGAUGCACUGACUUGGGGAAGCAGCAUCCUAACACCCUCCUGGAAAAUCACCCUCGGUCAUCACCUGCAAUCCUGUGGGGAGCGCGAAUCCAGGAAUCACCGGGAGCUCCUUCAACUAACUUCCUGGCAAAACUUCCUGGCAUGGCUGAGGGCUGGUACAUCAAGAACACUUGGCCAAUCAGAUCCUCUU